GCUGGGCAUGGUGGUGCACGCCUGUAGUCCCAGCUACUUGGGAAGCUGAGAUGGGAGGAUCACUUGAGCCCAGGGGAUCAAGGCUGUGAUGAGCUGUGAUCGCACCACUGCACCCCAGCCUGGGCGACAGAGUGAGACCCCAUCUGAA
rnacentral:sRNA from 1 species